UACGUAGGGUGCAAGCGUUGUCCGGAAUUAUUGGGCGUAAAGAGCUCGUAGGCGGUCUGUUGCGUCGGCUGUGAAAACCCGAGGCUCAACCUCGGGCCUGCAGCCGAUACGGGCAGACUAGAGUUCGGCAGGGGAGACUGGAAUUCCUGGUGUAGCGGUGAAAUGCGCAGAUAUCAGGAGGAACACCGGUGGCGAAGGCGGUUCUCUGGGCAUUACCUGACGCUGAGGAGCGAAAGUGUGGGGAGCGAACAGG
rnacentral:rRNA from 1 species